UGUGCAACUCCACAGGGUGCCACGGAGU
rnacentral:piRNA from 1 species